UUCAUGUUCAAAAAGAACUAGACAAAUUCGUGAGAAAAAAUUGUGUGACUUAGAAUUUUAAUUUUCAGCUGCCUGAAGUUAAUUGAAUCCUAGCUAUUCUCAGAAAAAAUAGACAUACAUGUGUUAUAUUUCAGUUUUUCUCUGAAAUCUUUGGUUCUAUAGGCAUGAUGUUUUCUCUUAAAGAUGUUGCUUGGUCGCCAUGGGGUUGGUCUUGAAGAAAACAGAGCUAGAGAGCAACCCUGAUGGAAUAGGUUUCAUUCUACGGAUCCCAGUGAUUCAGAAAAACAUUUCAUCUGGUAACUGUGAUAUUCAACUCAGUAAACAUUCUUGCAAAUCACAGUCUAAGGCUAUGGCUGUGCUGAGUGGGAAGAAAUAUGGUGCAGCACCUGUCUGCCCUAACGACAGAGCAACGCUGUGUAGGAUGCCGGUUUCGGUCUGGAUGAAACUAUGUCCUGGAAGGGAGGAGCCCCAGAGCUGCUGCAAACAGCUGAGCCAAGAUAAAAGCUCUUAACACCAAGGCAGCUUCACAAGGAAGUAAUAGCAGAGCUAUUAGCAUCCUAACCAGUCUAAAGUGGGCCACCUUCAGUCCCUCUGGCUGGCACAGUGUUGGUGUGUGGAAAAUAUAUGAGCAGUCAUUUCAACAAAGGACAUGAAUGCUUCUCAGCCUGGAGCGCUCCUCGAGGAUGGAAGAUAUGUGAAGCUCAGUCCCUCUGCCAGUGACGAUUUAAUUAUUAAUGCUAAGUGGAACAGCAGCAACAGGAUUGCAAGCACCCCAGAAUAUUUAAUGGCGUGGCGGUUAGCACUGACGGACUGAGAUAGAGGUGGGGGGGGGGGGGGCUUAAAUCCCCUCAAGCAGACACUGAACCUGCGUAUUUCAUGCUGAGAGUGAAUGUUCAAAGAGAGGCGGCCCCCUCCCCCAGCUCCGUGAUGGGAAUACGGUGACAUUGCUUUUCCUUUGCUCUCCCUAGGCAGCAUCAUUCAAAUGAAUUCAGAUCCAAUCUACGAAGUUUUUGAAUGAAUGAGACCAUAUUUGUUGUGAUAUUACUGUUCACUGGGAAAUAUAUCAUCCAUUCCUACUCUUGUUUAAUGGAAAUUGUCUAGUGCAUUAAUAACCACAAGUUAUCACCAAAAGAAACACGGUUUCUAUAGGCAUCUUGUCUCUUGGUCCGCAAGUAAAGCACAAGACAGUUACUUCUGAGCAGGUCUCUCAAACGGCAGUUAUCUGUGCCAGUCCAUCUGGCACUGAAUGAUAUGCUAGCGCUUACCUCCCUUCAUCAGCUUUGUCAUAACAGAAUAGUAAAAUAAACGCAGAGCUGGUAAUCUGGACCGCAUACUCCAUGCAUGCCACAAACUGAGUGUCUCGUUAGGUGCUGAACACACAAUAAUUCAAAAAUAAGAAUGAAGCAGAUUGUUGCUGUGGAGGCUGAGAAGCUGUCAUGCCAGAAGAAGUUAAAACAGGUCCACUGAUACAGUGGUGGGUAAAUAAUAGAUAGUUACUAACUUUUAAUAGAUACAGGUCUUCAACUAUUGCUCUUGCAAUUACAUUUUUAUUAGGACCUCAAUCACAUACCCACCCAAAACAAUUAUCUUCCUCAGUCCUUUUAAUGUGCUUCUUGGAAGAGAGGGAGGGAGACAUAAAAAUGGAAGGAUUGCCUUUUCUUAUAAGAGUAGCUCAGUGUUUUUCUGCAUGUUUUAUGAGUGGGCAUUACCCAUUCUUCCCACUUCAUUAUGCCUUUUUUUAAGAGAUUGAAAAAAAAUUUAUCUUUGGAAGAGACCAGUACAAGGAAACACUCUAAGAAAAAAUAUAACAUCAUGGUAAGAAGAAAGCAGAUCAAAAGUUUCUAAGUGCGCUCUUUCAUAAAAAGAAAAGAAAAAAGAAGGGAACAUUCAGUGAUCUUGAAAUGUUACAAAGUAGAAACUGAGAAAGGUUUUCACACAAACUAGAACAUGGAACUUGUUGCCAAAGUUUUUCA